rnacentral:rRNA from 1 species
UUCCGGUUGAUCCUGCCGGACCUUACUGCUAUCGGGGUGGGACUAAGACAUGCGAGUCGAGCGUCUCUAGCUAUGUUGAGACGCGGCAGACGGCUCAGUAACACGUGGCUAACCUACCCUCAGGACGAGGACAAACCCGGGAAACUGGGGCUAAUACUCGAUAGGUGAGUAUGUCUGGAAUGAUUUCUCACUCAAAGGGCUUUAGAAACAUGCUUCUAAAGUCGCCUGGGGAUGGGGCCGCGUCCGAUCAGGUUGUUGGUGAGGUAAUGGCUCACCAAGCCUAUAACCGGUACGGGCCGUGAGAGCGGUAGCCCGGAGAUGGGUACUGAGACAAGGACCCAGGCCCUACGGGGCGCAGCAGUCGCGAAAACUCCGCAAUGCACGAAAGUGUGACGGGGCUACCCCGAGUGCCAUCCGCUGAGGAUGGCUUUUCUUUGGUGUAACUAGCCGGGGGAAUAAGGAGAGGGCAAGACUGGUGUCAGCCGCCGCGGUAAUACCAGCUCUCCGAGUGGUAGGGAUGAUUAUUGGGCUUAAAGCGUCCGUAGCCGGCUUAGCAAGUCUCCUGUUAAAUUCAGCGACCUAAUCGUUGAGCCGCGGGAGAUACUACUAGGCUAGGAGGCGGGAGAGGUCGACGGUACUUCUGGGGUAGGGGUGAAAUCCUAUAAUCCCGGGAGGACCACCAGUGGCGAAGGCUGUUGACUAGAACGCGCUCGACGGUGAGGGACGAAAGCUGGGGGAGCGAACCGGAUUAGAUACCCGGGUAGUCCCAGCCGUAAACGAUGCGGGCUAGUGUUGGGGUGGCUACGUGCCACUUCAGUGCCGCAGGGAAGCAUUAAGCCGCCGCUGGGGAGUACGCGCAAGCUGAAACUUAAAGAUGCGGGGAGCACACAGCGUGAAGCUGCG